CCUACGGGAGGCAGCAGUGAGGAAUAUUGGUCAAUGGGCGGGAGCCUGAACCAGCCAAGUCGCGUGAGGGAAGACGGUCCUAUGGAUUGUAAACCUCUUUAGGCGGGGAGCAAUGCCGGGCACGUGUGCCCGGAGGGAGAGUACCCGCAGAAUAAGCAUCGGCUAACUCCGUGCCAGCAGCCGCGGUAAUACGGAGGAUGCGAGCGUUAUCCGGAUUUAGUGGGUUUACAGGGUGCGUAGGCGGCUUUUUAAGUCAGCGGUAAAAUGUCCGGGCUCAACCCGGGCCGGCCGUUGAAACUGGGGAUCUUGAGUGGGCGAGAAGUAUGCGGAAUGCGUGGUGUAGCGGUGAAAUGCAGAGAUAUCACGCAGAACUCCGAUUGCGAAGGCAGCAUACCGGCGCCCGACUGACGCUGAGGCACGAAAGCGUGGGGAUCGAACAGGAUUAGAUACCCCAGUAGUC
rnacentral:rRNA from 1 species